rnacentral:lncRNA from 1 species
UGUCAAUGCCUCGACGACCUGCGCUGCUGCCUCUGCCUCCUCUGCUCGAUGACCUGUGCUGUUGCCGCAGCACCUUCUGGCUUCAAACUUCAGACUUCAGUUUCCAGACUUCAGUUAUCAACCUGGUAAGAAACAAAAUAAAAAAAAUCCUUCCAGUAGCUCCUUAGAGACCAACUCAGCUUGUUAUUGGUAUGAGCUUUCGUGUGCAUGCACGCUUCUUCAGAUACAAAGUACAGUGGUACCUCGGGUUAAGUACUUAAUUCGUUCCAGAGGUCUGUUCUUAACCUGAAAUUGUUCUUACCCUGAAGCACCACUUUAGCUAAUGGGGCCUCCUGCUGCUGCCGCGCCGCCGGAGCACGAUUUCUGUUCUCAUCCUGAAGCAAAGUUCUUAACCUGAAGCACUAUUUCUGGGUUAGCGGAGUCUGUAACCUGAGGUACCACUGAAUCAACCUGGUAAGAGUUUUGGAUGUGCAUGUGGCUAACUCCCACAAUCCUCCCUGCGACUUGCACCCACAACACUCCAAUAUUUGCUGAUCAGGGACAUUAUAUGUGCCCUUGAAUGUGGUAUAGAUUUUUAUCCUUGAAAAGGUGGGCAGGGGCAAGAGACUUUUAUUGAUUUGAGAUCUUUCCUUAGCAGUCCCAAUCGUUGGGCAGAAAAUAUUGAAUUGCAAGUAAGCCCUCCUUACAACACAUUUACCUGUGUUAUGUUACAAAAACAGGGCAGAUAUGAUAUAUUGAAAAACAGGGCUUCAAAUGCAGUACUUAAACUACUAUUUAGUUAAGAGUUGUACAGGUCUGUGGAAAUGUAAAGAAACUGAAGGUACAUUCUUUCACCUUUGGUGGACGUGCCCAAGGAUUAAGGUUUUCUGGGAGAUGAUUUAUAAUGAAUUAAAAAGGUAUUCAAAUAUACCUUCUUGAAGAAACCAGAGGCCUUUCUCCUGGGCAUAGUCGGCCAAUCGGUGUUAAAGAAGGACAGAACUUUCUUUAUGUAUGCUACAACAGCAGCAAGAAUACUUAUUGCAAAGCAUUGGAAGACACAAGACCUACCCACACUGGAAGAAUGGCAGAUGAAAAUGAUGGACUACAUGGAACUGGCGGAAAUGACUGGCAGAAUCCGAGACCAGGGAGAAGAGUCGGUGGAAGAAGAUUGGAAGAAAUUUAAAGACUAUUUACAGAAAUAUUGCAAAAUUAAUGAAUGUUAGAAUGAUGUUGGAUUGAAGUUAAGUGGUUUCUAGCUGUAAUGGUAUAAAAGAAUAUGGAAAAAUUGGAUUUUCAAUACGUAAAAACCUAAUGCUAUAAUAUAUUAAGAUUAAAGAUCAGGAUAAAAUAAGGAGGGAAAGGAAUUGCUGAACUAAUAAAUUGAACUGGAAUACAAAAAAGGGAGGCAUGAGGAGGUCCGGGAAACAAGUAAAUGAAAGAUAAGUGAUGAAAAGAUGGAAUUGUUUUUAAUUGUUUUUAUUUGUAUUUUGUAUUUUUCUUUUCUCUAUUUUUCUUUUUCUUAUCUAUGUAACCUUUUUUUGAAACUUUAACAAAUAUCAUUUUUUAAAAAAAGAGUUGUAUAGGUCUGUAGCACUCCUAGGUAUCUUGAUUUCUGUACAAAAAAACCAACCCUUAGUGGCACACAGAACUGGAAGUGUGGUUGUAUCUAGAUCUCUUCAGAGGAAAGCUGUUGUAAAAACAGGGUUGCACUAUGCAAAUUCUGAAAUAAAAGCACUGUGCUGUAGUUUAUUGAUGCUGUGUUGAAGGCAAACAUUGUUGUUUAUCUCUGUUGUUUAUCUUUUAGAUAACAUCAAAUAUUUGUGAGAAAUUGAAGACUAGGAGCGCUUCUUUGCAGAUUGGGUUUGUAAAGAAGGUAUACUGACAACUUAAAGGUAUCUGGCAAAUACUUACACUGAAUGAGCAGGAAUGACAGUUGCAUAUUGGAAGCUUUCUAUUGUGAUUGAUGCAUGCACAUUCUUUAAAGUGACGGAGAAGAUUAUAUGUUAGAAAUAAUACUUACACAAAUAAGCGUUAUUUCUAACAUAAUCCUAACGCUUACACAAAUAAGUGCAUUCAUUUUGAAUGCUCAUUGCAUUCACCACUUGCUUCUGACCUGCUAAUUUCAUUUUCAUUGCUUUUUGCAUAAUUCAUAUAUCACAAUAAUAAUAAAAGUGUAUGUUGCAAAGUGCACUCUGGGACAAUAUUUUGAUGUUGUUUUAGGUGUGGAAAAUCUGCUCUAUAAGCUCUUAUUCCAUUUUUUUGAUUAAAUAUCAUCUAAAAUUUCCACAACUUACUCUAACAAAUGUUGUAUUUUUAAAUAUGUACAAAAUUGAUAUAUUUCAUUGACCCAUUUGAACAAAAAGGUCAUCAGCCACCUUAUUUGUGUAAGUACUGGAUUUAUUUACAAGGUCAAAACAGCCCCACUUGUGAGUGGAAAAUGCUUCUGAUGGGUAGAGGAGAGGGAUUUCCCAUUUUUUUAUUUUCAAUCUCAACUCUUUGUACCUUCUCAGUCCUGCUCGGAAGGGUCCCCUGAACUUCAAGAGCAUUUCCCCCCCAAACCCGGGGAUGAGAGACCUCAGUGCCUGCAUGGAAUAUGAUGCAUGUCUGCAAGGAUCUCAUCCAAAAGGGAUGUGCUGGACAAUUCCUUUUUUGCCAAAAAAGGUCUUCAAACUAAUCUGGCCACUUUUCCUUAGAAAAACAUGUAUUUAGAGAGAAAUGUUGUAUGACCUGAACAUGACCCCAGUUGUAACAAAAUGAAGAUUGACUUAAACUGCCAAAUUCCUUAUUAUAUGUGUUACUCAUUUUUAAAGCUGGUUAAAGUGUUUGGUAUGUUUUCCCAUCUGUUUAAUGUCAUUCCUUAAAAAUAAAUGAGGAAAUGGCUGAUCUAAAUAACAGUCUUUCUUCCAAAUAUAUUAGACUAGUACAAAAACCCACCACAAGGUACCAAAAUCAACAUAUUUUAAUGUGUGCAUCCUUUAUCCAUCUUAAUGUGGUAAGUACAUUUCUUUUAUUUUCAAAUAGAUAAUUUUUUUAGAGUACUCUGUGUUUCACAUGCUGAUGUGUUUUGUUGCUGUGGUUUUGGUCACAUGGCGUUUUGUGCUUUCCAAAGAUUUCUGAGUACUGAUAAGCUACAUUUUAAACCUUUCCAGUUGCAAAUAGGAUCAGUCAGGACCAGUCUCUUGUGUACAAGUAUUUUGGGCCUUGUGGAGUAUGAGCCAUCUAACCUUCAAAUUGGUGGUUUUCAGCCUUUCAAGGAUACUAUUUCCACACUGACAUCUGCUGAGCAAUUGCUUCGCGCUGCUGGAGACUCUGACGUGUUCUGGCGCUCACGCUUAGCAUGCAUUGCUCCUUACCAAUCCUGUUCGAUCCCACCAUCGAGCUGCAGGAAUUGAGGGCCCCUCCCUAGAACACAUGCACACUUUCCUGGAGCUGCACACAGCAGCAGAAAACUGGCAGUGACUGGCAAGCUAUUCUUUGGCAAGCUUGCCUACCUGGAAGAAUUGGUUAACAAACUUCGGAAUACUGUAGCAUCUUUGUUCGCCAAAGUGCAGAGAAUAUGCAGCCUUCAUUCAUUUAGGUCUCCAUACUUAGCUGGUAAUAUCAAUUUACGUUCUGCAGAAGAAGGCUCAUAUGGGAUGCUGUAUAGCUUGGUACUGAAUGUCUCCAGCAGUUGCAUAAAUAGCCUCUAUUUUUUUUUUUUAAUGAUAUUUAUUGAGAAUUUUAAAGUUACAAAGAAAAAAGAAGGAAAAAAUAAGAAAAAGAGAAAAAGAAAGAAAAGAAUAGAUAAAAAUAACAAUUAAACAAUACAAAUCAAUAAAAACCAAAAUCAAAAAGAAAAAACAAAACACACAAUACAACAAUCAAAAAACAAAAAUAUACAACAUAUUUAAAAACAAAUCCAAUUUUCCCAAAUCCUUAACUUUCAUUAACUUAUUUCAU